GAGAAAGAGAAAGAGAGAGAACAGGCAAGGGAUAGAGAGAGAGAGAGAGCAGAGACUACAGAGAGAGAGAGAGAGAGAUAGAGAUAGAGAGAGCACAGAGAGAGACGUUUGAGAGUCCGUUUAUUCGGUUAAGUUUUAUAUGAAGGAAAAAGCAUAGAGCCAUGGUGUCGGACCAAGAGAUAGCAAAAGGAGUGGAGACUGUGCUCCGUCAAUCUGACCCUAACGACGUCACCACCAUAAACGGCGUCGUGCAACAGCUGGAAGCGAAGCUAGGGUUAGACCUAUCCCACAAAGCCAGCUUCAUCAGCGACCAGAUCAACCUCCUCCUUCUCCGACCACAUACCCAACCCCAACCCCAACCCCAGCCCCAACCCUACCCUCCUAAAGACCAUUUUGCCCUCCAACAAUACCCCCAAUUCCCUCCCCAUUUUGCCCUUCACCAACACCAACACCAACACCACCUCCAACACCCCCAAAGCCACCUCUACCGCGCCGUCGAAGAGCUCAACUUCCGCAACCCUCUGCCGCCGCAGUCGUCUCAGUCGCGGCCACAACCACCGCUGCCCAAACGGGAAGCAAAUGUUCAGAAUGAGGCCACGAAUGCCUCUCCAAUCCCGAAGGAAAGUGCUCCUGCUGGAACCAAAAGAAGAGGUGGGCCAGGGGGUCUAAACAAGGUUUGUGGUGUUUCACCUGAACUUCAGACCAUUGUUGGAGAGCCAGCCCUGGCAAGAACCGAGAUUGUGAAGCAGCUGUGGGCAUAUAUUAGGAAAAACAACCUCCAGGAUCCAAGUAACAAGAGAAAGAUAAUCUGUGAUGAUGCUUUGCGUCUGGUUUUUGAAACAGACUGCACCGAUAUGUUCAAGAUGAAUAAACUGCUUGCUAAACAUAUUAUUCCACUUGGACCGAAAAAAGAAUCAGUUCAAUCUAAAAGAUUGAAGGUAGAUGUCGAGUCUGCACCUGAAAGUACAGAACCUGGUCCAGCUCCUGUGAUAAUAUCUGAAGCACUUGCCAAAUUUUUUGGUACUGGAGAAAGGGAGAUGCUCCAAUCAGAGGCCUUAAGCCGCAUUUGGGAGUACAUAAAGGUUAACCAAUUGGAGGAUCCUCUGAACUCAAUGGCAAUAUUGUGUGAUGCAAAGCUUCAGAAGCUUCUUGGAUGUGAAAGCAUUUCCGCAUUGGGUGUACCUGAGAUGUUGGUUCGCCAUCAUCUAUUCAAGCGGUGAUGAUGUCUGCUUAUGUAAACUGUUUCAUUUUGUAGGGAACCAUUAAAUUGAUAAGGUGUUUUAUAUUACCAUGUAUUUUCAUCAUUCUUACCUCAAUGACAGGUCUGAAGGGUUAUUGGCAUAUAGUUGUUUCUGAUGCCAUGAUGGAUGAUAGCUAAUGAACAUGUUGAUCUUUUAUUUUUUUUUGUUUGUUUAAUUCUUAGUUACUUCUUUGUUUAUUGACGUGGUUAGAUGUUAUGAUGUGACUCAAAUUAGUUAUUUUCCAGUAGAAUGAAAAUGUACCUUGGGCUAAUGGCAAGAGAUAUGUUGUAAUUAUUCUGCCAUUAGCCUGGUUUAGGUUUUGUUGCUCAUCUUAUGUUGUUUUCCCAUGCAAAUACCUAACCGGGCUUUGGGAUGGAUUAGAAGGUGAAGCUGAGUGGAAUGGUAAAUUCUUUCAACUUCUUGGUAGUGAUCAGUAAAUGUAUCGUGUAGAUGCAGCACCUGUUCAUUUUUGUGAAGAAAGAAUUGCUUUAUCUUGUUUUACGUCUGGUUUACCUGCUAAGAUGGGCAAAACUGGAGCUUGGCAUUGGCCAAAAGUUGAUGUGUUUGACAAAAUCUGUUCAUUUUGUGAAGAAAGAAUUGCUUUA